CUGGCAGGGGAAAGAUUCCUUGGAGAAACAGUUUACUAGUCUGUUGGGGGAUGGCAGCUACCAAAGAAGCUGGAGGUGGGUGAUCUGUGCUCCUGUGGACAUUUUUGGAUCAUCCUACAAGGAGCCCUCAGAAGCAGGAAGGGGAUAAGAGGUUUUCAAUACCCUUAGGUGGACUAAGGGACAAUAUUGGGAGCUCCAGCCAUUCUCUGGACCAUCUAGGACUCCUCAUCAUCCAGCCUCUCCUUGCCAAAAGACUCUAUAUGGGAAGAAAGCGAGACUCAGAAAGGCACAGCAACUUGCCCAUGGUACCCAAUGAGGGUCAGAGACAAGAGGAAGAAAAAGAAACAAGAAUUUAUUCAUCACCUGCUCUGUGCCAGUCAAAUCACAUCAGAAAGAGUAUCUUAAGAAGGCCAACUUAAGAAGAAAAACUGUAUAGUAUUCAGAGAAGAGCAACCAGAAUGAUGAAAUGAAGAGGCAUGUACUGGUAAAUAUUUAUCAACUGGCUCUCUGGGUGGGGAGGGGUAAUAA
rnacentral:lncRNA from 1 species